rnacentral:rRNA from 1 species
GACGAACGCUGGCGGCGUGCUUAACACAUGCAAGUCGAACGGAAAGGCCCUGCUUUUGUGGGGUGCUCGAGUGGCGAACGGGUGAGUAACACGUGAGUAACCUGCCCUUGACUUUGGGAUAACUUCAGGAAACUGGGGCUAAUACCGGAUAGGAGCUCCUGCUGCAUGGUGGGGGUUGGAAAGUUUCGGCGGUUGGGGAUGGACUCGCGGCUUAUCAGCUUGUUGGUGGGGUAGUGGCUUACCAAGGCUUUGACGGGUAGCCGGCCUGAGAGGGUGACCGGCCACCUUGGGACUGAGAUACGGCCCAGACGGCUACGGGAGGCAGCAGUGGGGAAUAUUGCACAAUGGGCGGAAGCCUGAUGCAGCAACGCCGCGUGCGGGAUGACGGCCUUCGGGUUGUAAACCGCUUUCGCCUGUGACGAAGCGUGAGUGACGGUAAUGGGUAAAGAAGCACCGGCUAACUACGUG